AAGAUCUCCAACGUCAACAAGGCCCUGGAUUUCAUAGCCAGCAAAGGCGUCAAACUGGUGUCCAUCGGAGCCGAAGAAAUCGUGGAUGGGAAUGUGAAGAUGACCCUGGGCAUGAUCUGGACCAUCAUCCUGCGCUUUGCCAUCCAGGACAUCUCCGUGGAAGGUGGGUUUCUGCUUUGUUCCAUCCCGCCAUCACCAUCUCGUCUCCCUCCCUGGGCUUAGCCUGGAGAACUCCCAUACCCAGGGCAACGGACGUUGAUCAGGGGCCAUGUCCUGGGCUUCUUGCUCAUUUAUUGGGCAUCAGCCUUCUCCUCCAGUCAAUGUAGAAAAAAGAACUGUUUGCCAUUCUGAUUCUCAUAGGCAUGUUGGCCUCAGGGAAACUCCCCACUUUGGGAAAGCCCAAGGCUGCCAUGGGGAAGUAUAUUGGAAAACCCACCUGGCUCUUGGGUUGUUAAUCUGAAAGGGUGGGGAAAUAGCGGCUGGGAGGAAGGACCAGGAGGGGCGCUAACCCCGUCCUCCACUUUGCUCCCCUAGCACCCUCUAGUGGCCAUUUCACAGAUCUGCAAGGGCCGCCAUGGUCUGGAGAGGUGAUCUCUACGCUUGAUUCCACACUCGGGCAGUUUUUGAGCUUUAUGUCUGCUAUGCCUGUAUUUAUCUUGCAUAAUAAUAUUUGUGUAUUGUUGUGCCUGUGAUAAAACACACAUACUGAAACAAACUUUUACAAGAUGAGAUGGAGAUACUAUUUUUUAAAUAUUUGUUUUAAUGGCAUAGACAUCAUAAACAUUUUUAAUCAAAGGAAUUUCUUAAUGAAAACAACGUGGAUUCAAUUCAAUUGCUUUGUGAUGGAGAUCUAGGUGUGACACUCUGUGAUGCAGCAAUGUAGAGUUCCAAGUUCGGUUUAUGGGUACUUGGUAUUUAGGGUUGAAGUGGUUGGAAAGAGGGUCAUAGUAGUCACCUGGGGUGUGGUUCUUGUUAAUGAUAGUGGAUGUAAAUCCAUUUCUCAAAUAGCCUUCUUGAUGAUUUUGAUUCUUUUGGGUGGACUUCUUGUCAGCUCUGCAGUCAUCAUUGUGUUACUCUUGUGAUUUAGCUGACGAAGAGCUUAAGCUAAGUAGAAGCAUUAGCUUUUCCAAUUUUUAAAUUGUCUGCUUUUGCUUAGGUGGUUAUGGUCUUUGUAGGAACCCUUGAAUGUCAUUUUAAAGUCCAUUUUGUGUGUUGAAAAUAAAUGAGAU
rnacentral:lncRNA from 1 species